GACGAACGCUGACGGCAUGCCUAACACAUGCAAGUCGAGCGAGUAGAUCCUUUCGGGGUGAAGCGAGCGGCGGACGGGUGAGUAACACGUGGGCAAUGUGCCUCAUAGAGGGGAAUAGCCUUCCGAAAGGAAGAUUAAUACCGCAUAAGAUUGUAGUACCGCAUGGUAUAGCAAUUAAAGGAGCAAUCCGCUAUGAGAUGGGCCCGGGGGGCAUUAGCUAGUUGGUGAGGUAACGGCUCACCAAGGCGACGAUGCGUAGCCGACCUGAGAGGGUGAUCGGCCACAUUGGGACUGAGACACGGCCCAGACUCCUACGGGAGGCAGCAGUGGGGAAUAUUGCACAAUGGGGGAAACCCUGAUGCAGCAAUGCCGCGUGAGUGAUGACGGCCUUCGGGUUGUAAAGCUCUGUCUUCGGGGACGAUAAUGACGGUACCCGAGGAGGAAGCCACGGCUAACUACGUGCCAGCAGCCGCAGUAA
rnacentral:rRNA from 1 species